CAGCCGCCGCGGGAAUACGUAGGGUGCGAGCGUUAAUCGGAAUUACUGGGCGUAAGGCGUGCGCAGGCGGUUAUAUAAGACAGAUGUGAAAUCCCCGGGCUCAACCUGGGACCUGCAUUUGUGACUGUAUAGCUAGAGUACGGUAGAGGGGGAUGGAAUUCCGCGUGUAGCAGUGAAAUGCGUAGAUAUGCGGAGGAACACCGAUGGCGAAGGCAGCCCCCUGGGCCAACACUGACGCUCAUGCACGAAAGCGUGGGGAGCAAACAGGAUUAGAUACCCCAGUAGUCCCUGUCUCUUAUAC
rnacentral:rRNA from 1 species